UACGAAGGUGGCAAGCGUUACUCGGAAUUACUAGGCGUAAAGGGCAGGUAGGUGGUUCGAUAAGUCUGUCGUGAAAGCUCCCGGCUUAACUGGGAGAGGUCAACAGAAACUAUCGGACUUGAGUAUAGGAGAGGGUACUGGAACUCCCGGUGUAGCGGUGAAAUGCGCAGAGAUCGGGAGGAACACCAAUGGCGAAAGCAGGUACCUGGACUAUUACUGACACUCAGCUGCGAAAGCUAGGGGAGCAAACAGG
rnacentral:rRNA from 1 species